UCUCCGUAGGUGAACCUGCGGAGGGAUCAUUACAGAGUUCAUGCCCUACCGGGUAGAUCUCCCACCCUAUGUUAUUAUUACUUUGUUACUUUGGCGGGCCGUUAGGCUCCGGCCCGACUACCGGCCCCGGCUGGUACGCGCCCGCCAGAGGACCCAAAACCCUGAAUAUUAGUGUCGUCUGAGUACUAUAUAAUAGUUAAAACUUUCAACAACGGAUCUCUUGGUUCUG
rnacentral:misc_RNA from 1 species